UACGUAGGGUGCGAGCGUUAAUCGGAAUUACUGGGCGUAAAGCGUGCGUAGGCGGUUCGUUAAGUUCGUUGUGAAAGCCCCGGGCUCAACCUGGGAAUGGCAAUGGAAACUGGCGGGCUGGAGUAUGGCAGAGGGGGGUGGAAUUCCGCGUGUAGCAGUGAAAUGCGUAGAGAUGCGGAGGAACACCGAUGGCGAAGGCAAUCCCCUGGACCUGUACUGACGCUCAUGCACGAAAGGCGUGGGGAGCAAACGGG
rnacentral:rRNA from 1 species